UAUAGAACCCUGAAAACUAGGCCCCACGGCUCCCUACUCCCAACCAGGCUACACAGCCUGAGGGUGCCCAGAACCCUGAGUCAGGGAAGGAAAAGGGAGGGGGGGUGUGACAGAGCCAGCUCUCCACUCCCGCUUCCCAGACUCCCACCCCAGGGCAUGGUGUCGUUAGAGAUCCAGUCCGGCUCAAGGAAGGCUUGCCCGCUGCUGGCACUUCAGGCACGAGGCCUGGAGAAGCCACUCCCUGUGCCUGUGGCCCAGAGCACCUGGGGUAGGGCAGUGUGAGAGGGAACGUUGAGGGGUAGAGAGGAUCCCCAGCUGCCAAAUGAUUGCCAGAUGAGCCCUCGGGCUGAGGAAAUGCUGGGGGCGCCUUUGGCCCUAAAAGCCCAGGAGGUCUGGGGGCCCCAGGGCCUGCCUGCACCCCCAGUGCAUGGCCCAGCCUGGGGAUUUGACCCGCACUCGCCGGGAGGGGUUUCCGUCUUGGGAACGGAUGACUGCUGACUGCAGAGGGGUGCCUGUCACAGCCCCAGCACACGAAUAAAGAAACUGAGGCCCCGGACGGGGCAAGGGCUUAGCCAAGGUCUCCCGUUAUGUGAGUAGCAGGGACAGAACCGGGACACAAACCCAGGGCUCUCUGGCUCGCUCGCAGCCUCCGAUCUAACGGAAACCAGGCCCCACUCGGAGCUCGGGGCGGCCGGCAGGCGCAGCGAGGACGGAGCAGACAGGCCAGACGUGCUGGGCCCCCCAGAAGCCUUGUGGGACUGAAGGGCCCGGAACAGAGGGAAGCCGCCCCCCACCCCCACCCCCGACCCCGCGGCCGGCCACAGACCCGCCCUGUGCCCUUCCCAUCACCCAGGGGGCAGCUAAGCCUCUGAUUUCUGGACCGAGGGGGCCGAGAGGGCCGGGCAAGGCAGGGACUGGCCUCGGGCCACGGGCAGUGCCUCCUCCUCACCCCCAUCCUCGUCAGCUUUUCCUGGAGGAGGCUGCAGGCCUCCGGGCUCAAGCCGUGACGGUCCCCUCAAGGCUCACUGGGGCCCCAUGUGGGCUGAGGCCCCCACCUCCUGAUCCGGGGCCCCAGGCGGGCUAGAGUCUCCCAGGAUUUCAGAGCCAGGGGCCCUCCUACAACACCCGGCCCUGCUCCUGCCUGCCAGCCCCUCGCAUGGCUCUCCUGGGUAGGGGGGCCGCCCCGACUCCCGCUCCAGAGGCCCCUUCCUUCCAGUUUAGCAGAGACUCCCCCGGCCCCCCCGAGAUGGCCCUCGGUGCUCUGCAGAGCUGCUCCAUCCGCCACUCAGAGUCCCAGACCUCCCUGGGAAGCGUUUUCCUGGUUGUCCCUCUCCUGGGCCUCCUUUCACACCUCAGCGCCUGCAGGGCUCUUGUGCCCCACCUGGACCCCGAGCUGCCCAGGGAGCUCCCCCACCAGAGGACCCUGCUCCCUCCCUCCCUGGGCGCCUCUUCCCGGCCCCACGCCCCUGCCCCUCCGCAAGCUCGCCUCCUGGCUCCUGCUCCUCGGCCUGACCUUCCAUCGUUGGCCUAUGCCCACUAAUAGCAAAGGGGGAAACGGUGACUUUCAGGGAGGAGCGAGGCCGGAAGCAGCCCCUCGACCAAAUGACCAAGCACACAGUGAGAGAGAGAGAGAGAGGCAGAGACACAGGCAGAGGGAGAAGCAGGCUCCAUGCACCGGGAGCCCGACGUGGGAUUCGAUCCCGGGUCUCCAGGAUCGCGCCCUGGGCCAAAGGCAGGCGCUAAACCGCUGCGCCACCCAGGGAUCCCUGAGCCCAAUUGUGAAGAGACCACAUAAGCUCAAGUCAAGAUGCAUUUUACAAAAAAAACUGGUCUGUACCUGCCGAAAAUGGCAAUGUUGCGAAAGACCAAGAAACACCGAAGGAAAGCACUUUCCCCGACUGGUAGAAAGCCAAGAGGGAAGACAAUGAAAAGCGAUACGGCGGCCAGGAUGCUCUCUGAUUAUCAAGGAUAUUAUUGGGGAAAUCGGCAAAACAGGAUGCAGGUCUGCGGCUGGUUACAAAUACGGCACCAAGGCUAAUCUCCUGACGGCGGUCGCUGCUCGUCUGGUUAUGGGAGAGGAGGCCCUUGCUCCCCUGUUCCGAGGAAAGAGCCACCGGAGUGUGGACGGAGGAAGGAGCGUCGUGUCCGCAGCUCACCCUGGAACAGCUCGGGAGAGGUGAUGUAUAUACAUAGAAAAGAAUUUAGUAUCUGGCGAAAUAUUAACGUUGGGGAAAUGUAGGUGAAGAGAGUGGGAAAUAUUUGUGACGGUCUGCCUGCUUUUCUGUACGUCUGAAAUACGUCAAAAAGCUGAAAGAAAGAGUGUUAGUGUCUCAGAGUUCAGUCCUGGGCCUUCCUGUCAUUUUAUUUAUUUUUUUAAACAUUUUAUUAAUUUAUUCAUGAGAGACAGAGAGAGAGAGAGAGGCAGAGACACAGGCUGAGGGAGAAGCAGGCUCCAUGCAGGGAGCCCGACGCGGGACUCGAUCCCAGGACCCCGGGGUCAUGACCUGGGCCAAAGGCAGGUGCUCAACCGCUGAGCCACCCGGGAUCCCCUUCUGUCAUUGUAACCCGCCCUCCUGCCACCAGGGCGGUUGGCCUGCGGGUUCUUUCAGUCCGGGUGAGUCUACUCCAGCGAUGCCCAGACAGAUGCGCCCCUGGCCCAGGCCUGCGCGGGGGCUCUCAGCCCACCUAUCCCGUGUCCUACACGGGGCCACUGGCUCUCUCACAAGCACCUUAAAUCAACACACCCAAAGCUUUUCUCCCGAGACGUCACCUGCCCCCCAUCUACCUCAAUGAAUGACGCCACCAGCCGUCCACAAGCCCCAGCUGGAAACCUGAAAACUCGUCCCGACAUCUCCCUCGUCCUUACUCUGCAUAUCCAGUCACCCCAUCACUCUGGGGAGCCUGGGAGCUCCCAAGGCUGGGCCCUGCCUCUUGGUCUUGUGUCCCCAGGGCCCUGCAGAGCACCUGACAUAUAUGGUGAGUACUUAAGAAGUAUUUGUUGCGGGCCGCCUGGGUGGCUCAGCCAGUUAAGUGUCUGACUCUUGAUUUCAGUUUGGGUCAUGAUCUCAAGGUCCUGGAACCAAGCCCCGCAUCGGGCUCCAGGCUCAGUGGGCCGUCUGCUUGUCCCU